CGUAGCCGACCUGAGAGGGUGAUCGGCCACACUGGAACUGAGACACGGUCCAGACUCCUACGGGAGGCAGCAGUAGGGAAUCUUCCGCAAUGGGCGAAAGCCUGACGGAGCAACGCCGCGUGAGUGAUGAAGGUCUUCGGAUCGUAAAGCUCUGUUGUUAGGGAAGAACAAAUGUGUAAGUAACUGUGCACAUCUUGACGGUACCUAACCAGAAAGCCACGGCUAACUACGUGCCAGCAGCCGCGGUAAUACGUAGGUGGCAAGCGUUAUCCGGAAUUAUUGGGCGUAAAGCGCGCGUAGGCGGUUUUUUAAGUCUGAUGUGAAAGCCCACGGCUCAACCGUGGAGGGUCAUUGGAAACUGGAAAACUUGAGUGCAGAAGAGGAAAGUGGAAUUCCAUGUGUAGCGGUGAAAUGCGCAGAGAUAUGGAGGAACACCAGUGGCGAAGGCGGCUUUCUGGUCUGCAACUGACGCUGAUGUGCGAAAGCGUGGGGAUCAAACAGGAUUAGAUACCCUGGUAGUCCACGCCGUAAACGAUGAGUGCUAAGUGUUAGGGGGUUUCCGCCCCUUAGUGCUGCAGCUAACGCAUUAAGCACUCCGCCUGGGGAGUACGGUCGCAAGACUGAAACUCAAAGGAAUUGACGGGGACCCGCACAAGCGGUGGAGCAUGUGGUUUAAUUCGAAGCAACGCGAAGAACCUUACCAAAUCUUGACAUCCUUUGACCGCUCUAGAGAUAGAGUUUUCCUCUUCGGAGGACAAAGUGACAGGUGGUGCAUGGUUGUCGUCAGCUCGUGUCGUGAGAUGUUGGGUUAAGUCCCGCAACGAGCGCAACCCUUGAACUUAGUUGCCAUCAUUCAGUUGGGCACUCUAAGUUGACUGCCGGUGACAAACCGGAGGAAGGUGGGGAUGACGUCAAAUCAUCAUGCCCCUUAUGAUUUGGGCUACACACGUGCUACAAUGGACAAUACAAAGGGCAGCGAAACCGCGAGGUCAAGCAAAUCCCAUAAAGUUGUUCUCAGUUCGGAUUGUAGUCUGCAACUCGACUACAUGAAGCUGGAAUCGCUAGUAAUCGUAGAUCAGCAUGCUACGGUGAAUACGUUCCCGGGUCUUGUACACACCGCCCGUCACACCACGAGAGUUUGUAACACCCGAAGCCGGUGGAGUAACCAUUUUGGAGCUAGCCGUCGAAGGUGGGACAAAUGAUUGGGGUGAAGUCGUAACAAGGUAGCCGUAUCGGAAGGUGCGGCUGGAUCACCUCCUUUCUA
rnacentral:rRNA from 1 species